CUUGCUCUAGAAGGGCUGGAGUGGAUCCUCAGUCCCUGGUGGUCAGUGGUUGCUGCUGGGAUUUCUGUGCUCUUCCUGCAGAGGUCCAUCACACGCCCUGUAAUGAUGCAGAGGCCGCGAUGACAUCAUAUCCUGGCUGCCGGCUCACUGCAGGGCAAAGACAGUCAGACACAGUCAGAUGCACAUAGUCCCAUACACAGUCGCUCACACACAGUUACAGGCAGACAGUCAAACACACAGGCAGACAGUCACACAUACACAACACAGUCACACACACACAGAGUCACACAAUCACACACACACAGAGUCACACAGACAAUCACAGGCAAUCACACACAGUCACACAGACAAUCACAGGCAGACAAUCACAGGCAGACAUCCACACACACAGUCACACAGAAAGUCACAGGCAGACAUCCACACACACAGUCACACAGACAAUCACAGGCAGACAAUCAUACACACAGUCACACACACACACACACACAGCCAAAGACAGUCACAAUCACAGUUACACACAGCACACACUC